UACAGGGGGUGCAAACGUUGCUCGGAAUUAUUGGGCGUAAAGAGCUCGUAGGCGGUCUGUCGCGUCUGCUGUGAAAACUCAGGGCUUAACCCUGAGCUUGCAGUGGGUACGGGCAGACUAGAGUGCGGUAGGGGAGACUGGAAUUCCUGGUGUAGCGGUGAAAUGCGCAGAUAUCAGGAGGAACACCGGUGGCGAAGGCGGGUCUCUGGGCCGUAACUGACGCUGAGGAGCGAAAGCAUGGGGAGCGAACAGG
rnacentral:rRNA from 1 species